UGUAGCUUCAUAUUGUAAAGCAAUUAACUUUUUUUGUACUGGGGAUUGAACUCAGGACCUUGCACUUAGAAGGCAGGCGGCAACGAUUAACUUUUUUUGUCUGUACAUUUUUCCUUAUAAGCUAAUUUGUAAACUGAAUUGAUGCCAUGUUUGACAUUUUGGAAUGGAAUUAGUGAGAUAGCCUUCCUUACUGGGCAUGUCAUCGUGUUUUCCAAAAGCUGUGGAUUAAUGCAACUUUAUGAUGGUUCCUUCCGGAUUGUAUGGCUGCUUGUCUUUCCUAAAGAUGUUUCUCCCAAUAACUGAGCAGAAUGUACAAGAGGGCUUUGGUUCAGCGUAGGAGAAAGGGUUUUUGAUAAUGAGUUCAGGCAUAGUGAAAAUCUUCUGAAGAAUAAAAGGGCCUCUCCUUUGGAAGUUUCCCCAAAUAAUAAUAGCAUGUGAGUGUUCCCUAGGGGCCAAGAGCCAGGUGCUCAUUUGCUUUUGCUUGCUGCAUCCCAUUCUCUGGAAGAGGUCCCCGAGUCAACAGUGGACAAGAGCUUCAGAGACCAAGCGCUGGACACUGGACAGGGAGAGCAGAGCUGCCUGCCCGGCACUCCCUCAGGAAUAUGCACGUAGAUGACUCCCAAGUUUCACCACUCUUCAAAUGAACACAAAUGACUUUGAAAUCAUCAUGACUUUCGAUUUGGGGAUUACACAUCAACUUUGAUGAGCAGGAAAAUUGCAUGGAGAAAAUCCACAAAUCGGAAGAGCAGAUGGUACAUCACGAUCAAGUGGACAGGUGUCCAGCACACAGGUAGUAGCGGGAUCCCGAUGGACACCCACUCGUCUCCUGCUCUGGUCGUGUAGAUUGUGUUGGAUUUUGUAACCAUUCCACAGGGUGCAGCAUGAAUUCUCCUACACCCUCCCCGCAUGGUUAGUGUGGUGAAGGAAACAGGUGAGUAGGGUUGGACCCUGCCCUCACACACUUGCAAUUGAACAGGGAAAGUGUGACCCACGUGACAGGGCCAUCUGGGCCAGAAAGCCAUCUGGCCAUCCCCAUCCCCAGAACCUUGGGAUGGGAAGUCCAGGUGAGGGUGGGUGCCUGGCUUUCCUGGGUCAGCUGCAUGCUGCUCAGAUGCCAGGAACAUGGAGGACAGCAGGGAGGGGCCUGUGAGGUCAUCACCACCCGUUAGGGACAGGGGGACAGGGGUGCAGCCUAGAGGGAGGACUGAUGGGGUCAUGCUCACCAGACGGACCUCACAGCCAGGUGUCCCCACCUGAGCUAGCCCUCACACUGAGAUCGCGGGUGGUGUAUUCCCACGCACUGUGUCUGUGUCUGGUGUCUCCAUACCCAGAGGGCCUUCUCCGUAUGCUCAUGGCAGAGCAGGGGGGAGGUUUGUGAGGUGCCGACUCUCCUGCUGUCUGGGUCACUGAACAAUUAGAAUUUUGUUGUCUGCACAGCUGAUACAGUCAGCUGCCUGCUCAAAUGAAUAGGACCUGGACAUCAACCGCUGCACGCGCAUUGACAGCCACCCUUGAUAUGUCACCUGUCGGACACAAGGUCUGUCUCUAGGGGACUCUGCUCUUAACUAGAGAUGAUGCCGUGUGUGCGUGAGCUGCAGAUCACAUUCAAGUCCUGCAUUCUCCAGGACUGGAUGGAUUUCCAGCCCCGCUCCUGCAUCCCCAGUGUUUGGAACCAUCUUUGAACCAGUAGGUCUGUCUUGAGAUCCUUUCCAGAAUCCCGUUGUACAUGUACACAAGUGUUGGCUGCCGUGGUAUUUGUGACCAAGAAAAGUCAGAAACAGCUUCAAUCCCACGUCUUAGGGGGAUGGUUAAAGAGCAGUGCAGCACAUGCAGAGAAUUCAUUCUUCAGCCACGUAGACAGGAGGAUGACAAUUAAAAUGGCAACAUUACAGGGAAAAGACACAGCAUGGAAAUUGUACACAUGGCUAGAUGAUAGAAAAAGAAAAGACAAAGAUGCCACCAAAGGGCAAAUAAAAGUGCCUGCAGAUCGGCAGCCAUGUCCUGCUUAGCUGCCCUCGCCAGUCAUCUGGGCUGGAUGUCAGUGAAUACUGUGGGGAAAAAGGGCAGCCAUCCCAUUUCUAUGAUUAGGCUCCGGAAACCCCUGGCUCUGAGCUGCCCUUCACCCCACUACAUGUGGCGGCAUCUUCAGCAUCUUCACCGCUGCAUGGAACGGUGUCUUUGUUACCGUGUGUCACAGCGUCUCCACUGUGACACGCACUGACUCCUGUGUGCUUGUUGUACUGAGCGGUCACAGGGGAAGGGAGAUCUGGAGAAGUACCAGGGUGCUAGGUACAGAAUGUUGCAGGUGGCAACAGCAGUGAAAGCUGGGGUCAAGCAGCAAGCGCUUCCUUGGGGCGCCUCUGCUGUCUGUGACGUUGUCCUCUCCUACUGGGGAGGAGCCCGUGUCAAAGAGUGGGCUACAGAGAGCUUUGCAGACAGCAGAGCUGUGCACCCAGAAUAGGUACCUAGAGCUGCUGUCUGGGACCCACCAGCCUUCCCCACAUAGAACUCCCUGGCUCUGACAGCUGGCGGAGGCUGGCCCUGAAGGAGCACUCCGAUUCCUUGCUGAUCGAGUCUGAUUCCUAAUGAUUUUAGCAGGUGGCCCUAUGGUCCAGGGCUUCCCCUGAGGAAGGCCUUUCCCUGGGAGGUGAGCCCAGUUUUGGGAUAAGCCAGCAGUGCAGCUGAUCGGGCUGCUUGGUGCUCACAGUGUAGUCAGCAGGAGGUGACCCGUCCUUAGUAUGUUGUGCUGCCUUCCGAAGGCAGCCUUGGAAAUGGGAGGGCAGCAGAAGAGCUUUGCUCUAUGUUCAUUCUUUUUUAUAUUUGGAAGAUAAUAGAGGACAUUCAGAAUUGCCACCAUCACAGCAUUUUACAAACUAGCAAUAUAAAGAAGGAAGAGUAACCACUGCUAGCUCGGAACUGGACUCACCCCUUCUUGAAAUAGUCCCCGUUCUCAGUUUAUGGGAACCCAGUGUUGAGGUGGUAAACGCCUCACAGGAUGAAAUCCCACUGUGGCUGAUUUGAGACCUCUAAAGGUUAAAACCUUAUUGGCAAUCUUCUUGAAUAUGUAACAGUCAGCUUUCUCAAGCCUGUACACGCUCACACAGUUUUUGGUUUCUUCUGCUUCUGCUUCCUCUACUACUACUACUUUUUUUUCUUCUCUUUCUCUUCCUUCCUUUUCCUCCUUCCUGUUCUUCCUCCUGUUCUCUUUCCUUCACCUCUUCUCCCUCUGGAGUUGGAAACCCAUUAUCAUAUUAGACAGCACACCAUUUCCAUUUCCUGUGUCACAUGAAGUCCUCUUGGCUCCUUUUUCUCAUGCAGUAGGGUUUCCAUGAAGAUGAACUGUGUUGUCUCUAAGCAUUCUGGAAGGGCAGGGUGGUCUGGUGGGGCAGGGAAGGGUGACAGCGACCCUUGUCAUUCAGGGCCUGACUCCUGCAGUGCUGUCCACAUCUGGCUUUUCUCUGCUCUGGUUAUGGCCUCUUCUAAACAUGCUCCUGGUGGCACAGUGAAGGCUGGGUGAUCUUUUCCUCCCUUCCCCUCCUGCUCAUUUCCAGAGUUCAGAAGAGAACCUCAUUCUCCUUGUGGCAAACUUUUCUUGGUGCACCCUCAUUCUUAAGCCCCUCAGGUGCCCCCUCCACCUGUCCUUAGAAACUGAGCUCCCUCCAAGCACACCUUAGCCAUUAUGGCAUGGAGUCCACCUACUUCCUGUCGAGAAGUAGAGAAGCUCUGGGGGCACAGUGGUGUCCACUCCUAGUCCCAAGUGUUAUUUGUAUGAAUGUGUUACUUUGCACACAGAAGGGUCUUUGCAAACGUCAUUAAGGUUACUGAUCAGUUGACUUUCAGUGAGGAGAUUGUGCUAAAUUAACCCAGUAGACGAAUUCUAAUCCCAGGGACCCUCUAAUGCAGAGAACUUUCUCUGAUUGGAUCAGAGGUGCAGAAGAGAAGAGUCAGAGAGAUCCUGAGUGUGCGGAGAGUUGAUGCAGUGCGGUUGGAUCUGCCAUGUGGAGCUCACAGGCAUGGACUGAUUUCUAAGGUGACCCUCAGCCAAGAGCCAGCAAAGAAGUAGGAUCUGCCUGCAGGGAACCCAGGUUGGCAAUAACACAAAUAGGCUUGAAGAGGGCCCUUCCGGAAGCCUCCAGGUCAGAGCCAGCUGACCCUUACCCUAAGUGCGGCUUUGAAGCCUGACUCAGAGACAGCAGAUACCCAGCUCACACCGAUGGCCAGAGCCGUGAUCUUGUGAGUGUGUGAUUUUAAACCGUGGAAUGAGUGUAACUUGUUACAGUGGCUGUAGAAAACAGACACAGGACCCUAGUGGCUGGGAACAGGUUCUGGGCCCCUCUCCUGGGGUCUUUGCUUGUUCCUGAGGAUCCUCACACAUCCAAGCACAGGUCCCACAGUGAACAGAUUCUCCCUUCCCCCUUCCCAUCUGCAGUCGACACUCAGUGGGUUUUACCCCUGCUCCCUGGACCUCAGUUCAGACCCCUGGGGUGUUUUAGCAGCUUCCUGUGGGUCUCCCAGCCCUGGGCCCCCUAUUUCCAGCUGCCCCCCACUAAUGCAGCUCUGCUCUCAGGACUCAUUCCUCCCCGACAGGCAUCCUGCGCUUUGCCUCUUCUCAGUGAAACAGGUAUAGGUCCAGCAGCCUAAAAUUCACAGCCUUUCGUAGGGAAGGGAGCAUGACAUCUCCGUCCUCACCUCCCAGGACUCUCUCUUGGGCAUUUGCAUUCUUGUUUUGUCCCCUGCAUUUUCUCAGCCCCAGGAUUCUUGGGAGUCCUGCAGGGAAGGAGUCCCCAACCCUGGGCCAUGGACUGGUACUGGUCCAUGGCGUGUUAGGAACCAGGCUGCGUAGCAGGAGGCAAGCAGCUGGAGAGGGAAGCUUCCCCUGUAUCUACAGCUGCUCCCGCCCCUUGCCUGAGCUCCGCCUCCCCCUCCUGUCAGAUCAGCAGGGCAUUAGGUUCUCCUAGGAGCUCAAACCCACCCUGAGCUGCACAUGCAAAGGGAUCUAGGUCGCGUGCUCCUUUGAAUUAUCCUGAAACACCCUGCCCCCACUUUGUGGAAAAAUUGUCUUCCACCAAACCAUCCCUGGUCCCAGAAAGUUUGGGGACCACUGCUGUAGGGCCCUGCCCGUGGGCCAUUGAGUCCCAGCAGGCUUCCAGGAAGCCGUAGAGCUGCCGCCCUUGAGAUGUGUGGUGCUGAAGCUCAGUGUCCCUGUCACACCCUAAGUGACCUGAGUAGGGCCUUCCACCAUCCCAGCUCGGUGUGUGCACAGUGCUUAGGAGUCCUGAGCAUACCUAUGCUCACACGCUGACUGGGGUACAUCCCACCGGAAGGAGAAAGGCAAGCUUAUCAUGUUAGGCACAGUGCCUGAAUCACUCAUUAAAUAGCUCUUAAAUGAGUAUUUCAUGAAUUCCUUUUGCUGUAUUUUGAAAUAGAUGCCCCAAGUACUGGAAAAGAUCCUCAGUAUUUUUAGCACACUUUUCCUGUUACAGUGUUUCUGGGUAUAGCGGCUGCUUAUGCUGAGUUUGAAGGUGGUCCAAACUUGGCAGGUGUGUUACUGUGUUUGACAGAGUAAGACUAUUGCAUUGCUGUCAGGAUAAUUGCUAACACAUAUCAAGCACCUGUGAUCUCCAUGAGUUAGGUCAGUUAACCCUUACAGCAGUGCUCUGACGCUGGAUUAUCCAUGUCUGAGUGUUAUGGAUGAGGAAUCCAGAGUGCAGAAAGGUGAAGUGAUCUACUCAAGGUUAUGCAGCUGGCUGAUAGCAGAGCUGAUUUCCUUCCCAGCCAGUCGCAGUUCCACUCCUUCUAUGGCUACCAUUUCGUCCUUUGAUCAGAGGCAGGAAAACCCCCCAUUCUCGAUCGAAAAUCAUCAUUAGCAUUAUUUCUACAGUUCAUCACUAAUCUGCAACACCUCACAUAUGCACCGGGCUUUGAAAGGCUUUGCUCUUUGUUCUCUUAGCAGAGGGCGGCGGGAGGCUGGUGGGUGGGGCAAGGGCGAUUCUGUGUCCUGCAUGUGUCCCGAGUAGAAGGACCACGUCCGGAGUCACAGCUGCACUGAGUCCCCGAUGCGGAGGACUGAGGCCCAUCUCAGGCGCGGAUGCCCCCAACCCUGCCCUCCAGGAACACAGCCCGCCCACCUGUGCCCUGGGCUGCUCCCACCCACGCCGGAGGGCUGGCCACGGAGCCCUCCUUGGAAGUGAGGCCUGGGCUGGGGACGAGGGCACAGCAUUUCCCUGCAAUCUUGAUCUUUGGCCUGUGGGUUUGUCCUUGGCGAGGGUCUGAGGGUCUGUCCUCAGUUGUGAUAAGAGGUCUCGUUUCUUUCUUCCCUCUGCUUUCCCCAAGCCAAGGAAACAUGGAAUCGGGAGGGGAAAAUGGCUCUCCCUGUUGCACCCAAGAACAGCCUGCUGGAGUCUGUGCUGAGGCUGCUGGUGGGAGGCCCGGCCUGUCCUCAGAGGCCACGUCUGCAGCGAGGUUCUGCAGACCGAGCCAGUGCACAGCCCGGGGCCUCCCGGCUGUCUGGGCCCUGGUGGCCCCACAGGCCUUCCCUGUCCCGAGUGCGCCUCCAGAACACACCGUGUCUUUGGCCCGGAACGGCCUCCCGCUGGGGAGCCUCGUGUCUCCCACUCCCUGUCUCGUCCACCUCCCAUCCUGUGUGACUUCAGUCAGGAUGCAGGGAAGUCCUUCCCUCAAGUGAAGACAGCCGUCCAGGUUUUCAGCCUGGGUGUUGACUUCCUCUCGAAUCCCCAGUGCUUGGACACAAGGUCAUGGACCGCACUAGAGGAGGUGAGAUGGGCUGUGCAUUAGACAGGGCUGACGUCAAGUUCAGGCUGGGCUCGGGCGGCUGGCUGUGUGGCCCUGGGCAAGCUCCUUCACCGUGAGGCUCCUUCGUCCCCGUUGGAAGCAGGAGGAAAUUGCCCCAGCAAGGCCUGAGGGACUAAAAGAAGGCAGAGGAGGGCCACCUUCCUAGAUGCCACCUCAUUAGAUGGUGGCCCGGCAGGGAGGGUUCAAGAAGCCAGAGUGAGGCGGUGGGAGGAGGAAACGAAGUGAUGUGACCAAGUUGUUUUGCACUGCAAAGGCACCAGUGCAAAUAGGCCACGAUCCCAGAUCCCAGAGCUCGGCCCUGAGUCCUGGGGCCGUGUGCAAGGUGAACCGGACUCCCGUCUUUGUGAGGUCAAGGCCAGUGGGCAGCACCCAUGAGGACAGGGGACCUGGCCAUGGGCUCAGAGUGCCGAAAGCAGCUGGAGUCCUCAGCUUAGUAAACACGGGGCGCCAUACUCUGGCUUCCCUGUGCCUUGUUUGUCACCUGAGGAAAGACCGUCAGCCUCUGCCUGGCUCUCAGGGUACUGUAGGGGUUAGAUGAGGUCGCGGGUGCACACAGCUACAGUAGUGCUUGGUGUGCAGAGUGUGCGGGGCAUUAGUUACUAUUGUCACUGACUGGCCCUCUCGGCCGGUUGUGUGUGCGUUUGUGGCUCUUUCCCCGUGGGAAUGCGAACACUUCGCAGCUUUGGCGUGAUGGCUUGUCUGGCUCCCUCCUCUGUUCUGGAACAAGAGCUCAGUGUGUUCUGAGAAACCUGCAGCAUCGCCCCAGGAGUUUAUCAACAGCAGGAACUCGGGGGCCUUCCCAGAGUCUCAGCGCCAGAUGCCAGUGCCGGGCCCUGUCUGUCUCGGCCCAGCAGCGCUGCGCAGCAUGUGGUGUUCACUACGUGCUGUGCGCCCUGUCUCCCCAGGGGAAGCAGGACAUUUGGGGCAGGAUGAGGGUGGAGUGGAUCAAUUAAGGUGGGGUCUUUGGCUGAACUUUACCCUGGGUUUAUGGAGCUUGGAAACACAAAAAAGGUUGCAUUCCUUUCUGUGGAACUGCUUAAUCCACACGCACUCUCCAGACAGGGCUGCUGCUUGGUGCCAGCGGCUUCUCCCAGCACUGCUUGCUUCCAUUCCAAAGUGGGGAAGGGAGAGCUUUAGAGGGCCAGGUGGGUACUUCCUGGGCCCUCGCACUUAGGCCAUUUGUACCUAAGAUGCAACAAAGAAUCCCCAGCCGGCUUGAAACUGUCUCAUGCUAGUGCUGGUGUUCAAGUGCUGCUUCUGUCGUGGCCAUGCCUAACAGCAGCCAGCCAGGGCUUGGUGCAGACUGGACAGUCUGAGCUCAGGCUAUAUGCCUAGCACACACAUGGCCUUGGGCUCAAUCCCCAGCACCACCCCCCCCCCCAACAAAAACAGAAAACCCGAGUUCAAGUCCUGACUCAGAUGCUUAGCUCUGUUGCUUUUCUUCAGUAACGUAACAUCGUGGGCCCUCCCCUCUUCCAUCGGUAAAGCCAUGUGGUGAGGUGACAGAAAUGGCCCAGUGCUUCACUCAUUCUUGUAACUUGCACAGUGCCCAGUCACGUGAUUCAUUAGACUGCGCUGUUAGCAGACACCUUUGCAGCCGAGCUUGGAAAGUGUUUUGUUUCUACUGUUGAACCUUUUCCAUCAGCAAGAAAGGGGUAUUUCUGGGACAGCCCUUGGGCUCCAGCAGAGGGGUGAUUGUAUGUACAAUGUAACCAGGGUGCUGUGUCUGAUCUUGGACAAGUACACAGUGAGUCACGCCCUGGACCCCUGAGUGAGCCCAGCAGAGUUCAUCUAAGCUGACCACUCGGUGAGUGACACCUGAUACUUAUGCCACUGAGGUUUUGUUACACAGCAUUGUUUUGGUGAUUGAUACAGCAGGAAUGUCACUUAUAACUCUUGGAUGGCUUGAAUUCUGUAAGAGCAGGAUGGUACCCUGUGGACUGCCCAGUCCUUCAAAUCCGUGUUGACUGAGUGAUCUAAUAAAGAGAAGUUUGUAACCCUCUGCGGUUCUGUCUGGCAUAACACCGGUUCCCUCUGCUUACAGCAUCUCUGAUUGGGGUCACUGCUGUUUCCCAUCCACUUGGUAUCCAGCAAAGGCAGACAGAAAGACAGAAAGACAGAGGAAAUUGGAGACUGAGUAGCUAGGCUCUGGUUUUAUGCACAAAGCGAAGGCUCAGUAAGUCUUACUUGCUCCCCUGAAUACUUUGGGUCCCGAGUCCCAUGGCAAGCCUGGUAAUUCCUCAAGGGAAAGCGACUUGGAGCACAGCACAGUGAGCUGGACAGAGAGUGGUGCCUGUGUCGGGUGCUCGGUCUGUAGCAGGCACUUCUUGUCCGUCCAUUCUUGUUUGAUUCUGCAGAGAGGAAUUGAUCUGGAGGUAGAAACUCCGCUCAGAGACAGGAAGCGAGCAAGCAGAUGCACACCGCUGGCAAGGUAGCUGACGAACUCUGGAGUCCAGGGCUGCUCUGCAGCCAAGAAUAGCUUCUUUAAGCCCUUCCCUGCAGGCGGGGACCCUGGCCAGCAUCCAGGCCACACUCUGUGCAAGCCAAGCAGGGAUCCUGCCUGGUGGAGGUGACUGGCCAGCUCAAACUGCACAGUUGUCGGCGUGGCCAGGUUGCUGGGCGCCUCCUUCAGUGCCGCUGGUGUGACUCGGACCUUGUGGGUGAGUGAGCCUCACCAAAGUGCCUGGAUCUGGUUUCCACGAGGGUCUGAAUGGCGUUGGCUCUCCAUCUGCAAGGGUGCGCUGUCCAUCCUGAGCCCUGGGUCCUCUCCGGCUGCCUUUCAGGGAUCCUGGCCGAGUCAGCAGGACCAUAGGGCCGGCUGGCGGCAGGGCAGUGUAUCCUGACCACCAUCCUGGGCUGAGGAGCGAAGCCCCAGUCCGGUCCCCUGUCCCUGGCCUGUCCUCCCCAGCCUGCCAGCUCCAAGGGCGGGAAUGGGGCCAGCGCCGGGAGCUUCUCGGGCUUCUGCUCCUGCUGGCACUGGCUGGGCAGGAGCUCUGCUUGGCUGGCUGCCCUGGGCACUUGCCACCCUUGUGUGUUUGCUUGGCCAUCGGGGUGAGGAAGCAGGAUGCUUUCCAUUGGACCCUGGGCGUUCCGGGCUUCAGGGGCCAGCGGCCAGCCAGGGCGGGAUCUGCCAUCCGUGCCUCCGUCUGUCCUCUUUGUCCCUCUCCCUCUCCUACCUGGCAGGCAGUUCAUAAUCCCGCCACCACCUGAUGCCGCGGGGGAGCAGGGGGAGGCCCACUGCUGUGCAGAGCAGGAACACUGGUGAGGGCCGCCCGAGAGCCUGCCUCAGGCACCUCCAGCCUCGGAGGGAGAGGGACUGUGGCACCCCGGCACCCUUCUCCCACGCCCAGCUGCACCAUUCCCAGACCAUCUGGGCCUCGUCCACAGCGUUUGUUUGAGUGGUGGUGAGACCUCUGGCACCACUCUGCCUGUCUUUGGUUAGAGCAGACAUAGGGAUGAUUUACAAUCACCCAGGAUCUCAGCAUGACUUCCUGUUAGGGUCAGGGAGAGACGCACUCCUGGGCCGUGCUACCUUGCUGAGACAGAGGCUGGCCAUGGAGAGAGCCACUGGUGCCCUGUGAGUGGCAUAUUCCCAGGAGCCCCAUGUUCUGGGUGGGGUAACUGAGGCCAGGAGCACUGGAGCCCUACACAGGGCCUUCCCGGUAGGGUAGGCAGAGAGCACACGGAAGGAAGCCGGGCUCCCCUCCCCCUCCCAAAGCAGCUUGCGUUCCCGCUGUCUGGCGCGGCGGGCAUUGUAGUACGCCUGGGCUUUGCUGAGGGUGCCUGCCCUCAGAGGGAACCUGGGGUGCCAGGGCUGUGGACACGGAGAGAAAGGCCUUUCUGGUCCUUGGCUCGGCUCGGCUCCUACGUUUUUCAGACAGGAAGGUCCCCAGGGCCAUGAUCGCCCCGCCCCACAGAGGACAGCAGAGCUGGGAGGUGAACGGGACACUGCCAUGCCUCUGGUUCACUGAGUGCCGAGGAGUGCAGGGACCGGGCUGAUCCAAGGCCUGCUCAACAGGGACAGAAGGGCCCGGCUGUGAAGGGCCUGGGCUGGCCUGGACAGGGCGCCUGGAGCUGCGGCUGGGCUGUUCCCUUCUCAGCCUCCCCUUCCCACAGGGAUGUGCUCAGCUUUCUCCCAGCCCCGCAGCCCACAGCCUCUGUCCCCACGAGGAGACCUCAUGCGGAACGCACUCUGAGGAGAGCCUGGACGGGCGGAGGGAAGGACCUGCCCUGAGUGCCUCCUCACUGUGCUGUCUGAAGCCGUGGGACCCACCAGCCGCCUGCCUCAGGGCCUCUCUGAGAUUUUUCUGCAGGGAGCAUUUGCGGCACCCGGCAUAUCACCAUAUGGAUACACCGCACCCACCUUACAGAGGAGGGGUGGAAGCUCUGAGAAGCGACACACCUGGCCUCCCCAGAUCACCCAGCUCUCGGGGCACAGCUGACACCCAGGCCUUCUCCGUGGAGGUUUCUGUGGUUCCAGGGACAGAUUCAGCAGGAAUCUAAAUCCUGUGAGAACAGGGCCCUGGGUUCCCCCAUCACCGGCAUCUCCCUGCACCUGUCACCUGUCACCAGGCAGGUUUCCUGUUAGUUACUGAGUCAACGAAAGCAGGGACUUAAAUCCCUUUCCUUUCCUGCUCAAAGCCCCUCACUGUUCGGCGUGCCUUCCCGUGUGGACCCCUUGCUAGCCUGUGUACCUCGCAAGCCUGGGACCGUGUCCGACGACCUUUCAGUCUGAGGCCCCAAUCCCAGCCUGCCCUGCAGCAGGUGCUCCCUGAACGACAGUGGAAUAUGGAAGCAGCAGUCCAUUCUGAGCUUUGGGCCAUGCUUUCCCCACACAGUCUUUCCGACCUCUUUUGUCACACAGAGGUUAAGUUACCUGGACUCACCACGUUGGCAGCAGUCUGCCUACUACCGUUGGUCCAGGAGGAGUUGGAUGUCUGCCCCUGCCAGUCACCUGGAGCUGGCACACCUGGGUUGUUCCGGGGCAGAUCCGAUGGCCCAGGGUUAAGUAGCACCUGGAAUGGUUAUGUGGCCAGGCACCUCCCCCGUGAGUCUCCCGAGUGGCUUGGCGGGUGGCUGGCAAGGGAGGGACCCUUGGCACCGCUGCCCCUUUGUAUCAGCUGCCAGCAGGGCCUUUGAUGUACACAGAGGCCACCUGCCAGCCAAGUGCACUGUGGGACACGGGCACUGGGAGGAGGGGAACUACCCAGGACCCGCCAGAGGGCUCCUCAGCCGCCACUACCAUCUGGUACAGCAGUGGGAUGGCUCGGGAGCAUUUCCCCAUCUUGCAAGGAUGGAGAUGCUGCACAGAACCCCAGUAUUGUGGAUGAGGUAUUAACCUCAAAGCAAGGUGGGGCCUCUCACUGUUCGAGCUUCCUUCCUUACAUGUUAGACUGACACAAGCAGACCAAACUCCAUAGUCCGUCUGAUGUCCUUGUGGGCAUUGAAUGCAUUAAUAUAUUUAAGGCGCCCAUAGUGUGUGUGUGAAUCCAGUAAUAGCAGCACCUAAUACUUACGGAGCACUUAAACACUGCAUUAAUUGCUUCAAUCUUCAUAACUAGGUAGUACUAUUGUCCGCACUUUAUAGAUGAGAAACUAGAGCUCAGAAAUGUGGAGUAACUGCUGCAGGAUCACACAGCCCAACCAAAGCCAGUCCAGAGUUCAGUCCCCAUGGUCUGGUCGGAGACACUGCCUUGCUGUGCGUUGCCCCCGUGACUCAGAUGGUACGCUUCGCUUCUCUGCUUAUCAUGACGGUAAAGACGGCCACCACGAUGGCAGAUGACCACGACGGUGGUGGUGGUCACGGCCCGCUUGUGUCGCAGUUAUUUCUUGUUGGGAUUUUGAAUUCAUUGCAGUUGAUCCUCAGAGCGGGCCGGGAAAGUGAGUAAGUUUAAGGUGGGAGGAGAUCGGGCUUUAAGAGGGGACCAGAGACCUAUUGAGCCACACUGUUGAGUGCAAGGCCAGGGUUGGGGAGGCAUGGGUGGGUGCAGAGGCCACAGGCCACCGGCUGUGUGUUGACACCAGGCUGCUGGGCCCCUGAGGCCGCAGCAUGGGGAGGAUGGGCGGUCACCCCCAAUCCUGCUGUCCUAUAGAAGUUGGGCUGGUCCCUAAGGACUGGAGCCGGAGGGCGUGUCUAGACCCCUGCAGACCCUGUCAUGAAGCUGGUGAGACCCAGCCACUGUCUACUGCGUGUGACACUCAUUGCCCUCCCCGGAGCCCUGGGAUGCUCAUAUUGCUCUCCUGCAGACAUUCGGAUCUGUUGGAUCUGUUACUUACUGCCACAGCAAGGCCGAGUAACAGACAGCAGAACCCAGCUGGCUUUCAGUAGCAGGCAUUUAUGUUCACCCUCUCGGGGUGGUUGGCCGAGUGGUCCUGCCAGUCCCGCCAUGGGGCUGGGCUGCAUGCUGGCCAGUCAGAUUCCGCUGGAGUGACUGGGGUGUUUCUGCUCCCCCAUGACUUCCAUCUCUUUUCAGGUCCUGCAUUCUAGCCAGGGAAUAUCCUUUCAUGAGAGCAGAGCCCAAGAACUUAAUCACUCCUCACAGGGCAAGGCCUCUCCAUGCUUCUGCUGGACUCGCCUUUGCUGACCUGCUUAUUGGCAAAGGCAGAUCGCAGAGCCCAGCUCGAUGUCAGCAUAGGAGGACUCCACAGAGGACACGGUAGAGGGCAAAGAUGCAGGGGCAGGAGAAGUAUUGGGACCUUGUUUGCAGUGGAUCGCAGAUGAAGGCAUCUGAGGUGGCCCUGGGACUUGUCUGAGCUUUGCUGUCACCUUGACUUCAGAGUGACUGCCUCACUCAAGAGAAGAAGGGCACGAACAGGCCCUCAGCAGAGACUGCCUGCCUGGCAGUUCACCUAAAGAGAUGACAGUCCAAUUCCCUUGCCCAUGAGCACAGGGCUUUUCCAAGGUUGCCCGACUGAGACUUGGCUCUGCCAGCGUCAGUGUCACCCGCCUGUUCCCAGUGUCCCCAACUGUGAGAGACAGCCCCACCUGUGCCCAGGUCAUGGCAAGGCGUGGCCGUUCUGCUACCCAGUGCUGCUUGGGUGCUGGAGCCUGCCAGGAGCAGAAGCUGGAGAAGAGAAAACGUGACAUCUUCUUACAGCCUUGGUAGAGCCAUUGAUUUCCCAAAAGCAUCUUCCCCCGGGUGGCCACCUGGAUGCUGGGACACAGUGGAGACUUCUUUGGGAAACACUGAGUCUUUAGAGAAAUUUUCUCAGUUAGCAGCCUCGUAGAGAAUUGAAGCCUUUGAGCCACAGGUUAGCUGGGGCUGCCCCAGUGAAGAUACAUUUCCAGCCUUGAGGAUGAAAACUUUAGUUGGAGCUCUGAUUUUGGAACUAACCUCUGAGUAAGCCCUUUGACUUAUGUAGUGGAGCUGUCUCUCCUUUUCCCUUACUUCACCCACGUCACAGCCCUAAGGAGAAUAAAUGCUGAAUUAAGUCUCUGACCCAUAGCAUCGUGGUGACUCCCUUAAGAACAGGGCUCCAUUGCCUGCAGACGCUAUGUGUCUCUUGCUUGCUUUCCCAUACCAAGAAGUCAAGUCUGAGGUUGGCUUCUGGCUGGGCAUCUGAUUUGUCAGCUUACCUCCUCAGCCUUGCUGAGUGGGAGCUUAAAGGUAGCAUCUCACACAUCUUUUAUCCUGACCUCUGGCCUUAUUGAAGUGCAGAGCCUUGAAUAGUAUAUUAGUCAGGUUCACUGUCAUUGGAACACAGUGUCUGAUAGAAUUUAAAGGAGAGGAGACUUAAUUUUAUGGUUUAUGGUUUAUGGUUUCAGGCAUUCAGUCCAUGGAUGGCUGGCUCCAAGGCAGAAACUUCAUGGUGGAAAUCCAGGCAGAACAAAGGUGCUUAGUUCCUGGCAACCAGAAAGAAAAGCAGGGAACAGUACCUGAAAAGAAGGUACAAGGGACCAGACAUAGUCCCUAAGGGCAUGUCUCCAUGAAGCACCCAGACAUAUACAGAAGUGUGGUCCACCAAACCCCCAUGUAGAUCCUAAAUCCCAAUAAGCUGACACUCCACCCUAACCUCCACAAAUGGAGAGAGGUAUGAGAUACGAGAUGUCUUCUUCCUCUUCUUCCUCCUCCUCCCCCCUCUCUUCCUCCUUCCCUUCUUUCUCCACUGUAUACUUUUUCUUUGGGAAAUAUAAACCUAGUUACUUAUUUUAUCAGGUGUAGAAAGAGAAUGCCUUUCCCUCUGCAAACACUAGCAUUCCCUUCCUCUAGAAAACUACUACUAAUCCUCGAGGACCUGAUGGAAUAAUUCCUUUUGCCAGGGGACUUUCCUCUUAGCUCCAUCCCCUGUAGGGUGGAGGUGCCCAUGGUUUAUUUUGGAAUAUCACAUCACCAGGGUUUUGUUCUUGUCCAGGUAGCCUUUAUUCUAUGUUCUGGCUUGUCUCAGUGUGGUGGUAGGGAGGUCCCCGAAGCCCUCUGGGGGCAGUGAUGUGACUUCUUUAUUUCUGACCCCUGUGCUUACAACAGUGCUGAGUACAACAGGAAUGUCACACUUGUGUGUACAAGAUGGACAAACACAUGUGUAAGUAGUGACAGCUUUGGUCCAGCAAAGAUCUCGGGCUCCAGGCUGCUCAGCUGUGGCUUGGGACGUGGAAUGCCAACAGGUCACAUAGACAAGGCCCCGCAUGCUUGGCAAAUGUGUGGGAAGCUGGAAAUGGUCCAGCCUUAAACUUUGACAGUCUCAGGUUUGAUCCCUUUCCCUGCCAGUGAGGUUGAAUAAUUCACUUUACUCCUGCCCCAUGCCUCAGUUUCACCAUCUGUAAAACAAAUAGAAAUGUUUGCUUUACUGGAUUUGUUGCUCUUCAAGUGAGAAGACUUGGUUAUGAAGCAAUCACUCCCUUUUACUUUCUGUGUGACUUUGUGUCACUUCCCAACUUCUCCUAUCUUAGUUCCUUCAGCUGGAUCAUGUGAUCACAGUGCCUGUCCUCCUGUAUUUCCACAGCUAAAGAAAUAGUGAGUGAAUGGUGGAUGGAAAAACACGCUGUAAAAUUCUCUGAGCUGGCCACUGUGUACCUCUCUACAAGAGGCCUGCAACCCUCUGGUUCUCGGGAGAGCACUCCAGCACCCCAUCCCUGCUGAGGGGAGCAAAGAGGGGAGGAGGCACACCGUGCAGUCAGGGUUUCCCGUGUGCCAUCUGACCAGUCCCUGCAGCAGUGUGCCAGGAGGCGAUGGUUCGUACAUAGUGCUGCAUGGUGCUCACCUGUCUCCUGAGUGACUGCUUGUUGGGGAGCUGGCCCAUGUAUGCAACAUGUAUUGAUCACUUUUGAUCCCUUUCCUUCCUUUCUCUCACCUCCCCCGUCCAGUCCCCACCCCCAUCCCCUGAGUCGGCCUUCUUGUUUCCUAUCAUCUGUCCUUUGUCUU
rnacentral:lncRNA from 1 species